rnacentral:tRNA from 1 species
GCCUGGGUAGCUCAGUCGGUUGAGCGCCUGACUUCAGCUCAGGCCAUGACCGAACGGUUUGUGAGUUCGAGCCUGUGUCAGGCU